AGCUCGGCUUCAGGAGUACUUUUCAAAAUAUCAUGUAUUUUGCUAACUCUAUAUAACUCCAUGUGUCAUUUCAUCCAGAAAACUUGUUUCUAAUGCUUUUUUCUCUGGACUCUAAGCUGGUUGAUGCCACCAGGCCUUGGGAAAAAGCCUGCCUUCUGAUAGGAUUGCUAUUGAGUAGCAAAAAUUCUUGGAUUCUGAUAACAUCUUUCAUGCAGAAACUCAAAGCAUCUCCCAAAUUAUAAGCCCAUUCUUUUACACUGUUCUACACUCUCACACUCUAGGAACAACUCAUUUCAAUCUUGGGACAUUGACCAGAAUUCAGGGAAACUAGCAUGAUCCUUCCAGUCUGACGUUUCAUUCCAUCUACUGUCCAAAGCUGUGUCUACAAGGCAUCACCUAUGAGACAAUAAAACAAACCCUCUGAAAUCAGGAAAUUUGCCAGAAGAUGGCGAGCUGGGAAGAAAUAAAACCAGGAUUUGAGCCAGAGACAGGGUUUCUCUAUGUUGCCCAGGCUUGUGUUGAACUCCUGGCCUCAAGUGAUCUUC
rnacentral:lncRNA from 10 species